GUCGCAGCUCAGCCUUUUGGCUAAAACCAAGUGUGGUUUCUGCUCUCAUCAGCUUAAUGUCUGAUAUCUACUCUAUUCAAGGACAGUGUAUUAAAUAGAUUUUUGGAGUUGGGAAUUGGAAUGAGGGGCUUUCUCUGUCCAGUCCACAAAUUGAUGUGAAAUAGCUGUACUUCCAGGUGUAACAUACACCAG